UACCCUUUGUGAACAUACCUAACCGUUGCUUCGGCGGGCAGGGGAAGCCUCUCGCGGGCCUCCCCUCCCGGCGCCGGCCCCCACCACGGGGACGGGGCGCCCGCCGGAGGAAACCAAACUCUAUUUACACGACGUCUCUUCUGAGUGGCACAAGCAAAUAAUUAAAACUUUUAACAACGGAUCUCUUGGUUCUGGCAUCGAUGAAGAACGCAGCGAAAUGCGAUAAGUAAUGUGAAUUGCAGAAUUCAGUGAAUCAUCGAAUCUUUGAACGCACAUUGCGCUCGCCAGCAUUCUGGCGAGCAUGCCUGUUCGAGCGUCAUUUCAACCCUCAAGCACCGCUUGGUUUUGGGGCCCCACGGCACACGUGGGCCCUUAAAGGUAGUGGCGGACCCUCCCGGAGCCUCCUUUGCGUAGUAACUAACGUCUCGCACUGGGAUUCGGAGGGACUCUUGCCGUAAAACCCCCAAAUUUUUUACAGGUUGACCUCGGAUCAGGUAGGAAUACCCGCUGAAC
rnacentral:rRNA from 1 species